rnacentral:rRNA from 1 species
GAUGAACGCUGGCGGCGUGCCUAAUACAUGCAAGUCGAACGAACAGACGAGGAGUUUGCUCCUCUGACGUUUGCCGCGCACGUGUGAAUCACAUGUGUAUCCUCUCCCUAUAAGACUGGGAUAUCUUCGAAAAACCGGCUCUAAUACCAUAUGAUAUAUUGCACCGCAUGGUUCAUUAGUAAAAGACGGCUGUGCUGUCACUUAUAGAUGGAUCCGCGCCGCAUUAGCUAGUUGGUAAGGUAACGGCUUACCAAGGCAACGAUGCGUAGCCGACGGGAGAGGGGGAUAGCCAACCUGGGAAUGGGGCCAGGGUCCAGACGCCUACGGGAGGCACCAGAAGGGAACCUUGCGCAAUGGGCGAAAGCCUGACGGAGCAAGCCGGCGGGGGAGAUGAAGGUCUCGGGAGCGGAAAACCCGGUUAUGGGGGAAGAACAGAUUUGGAAGGAACUGUGCACGUCGUGACGGUACCUGAUCAGAAAGCCACGGCUAACUACGUG